rnacentral:rRNA from 1 species
CUACAUGAAGCUGGAAUCGCUAGUAAUCGCAGAUCAGAAUGCUGCGGUGAAUACGUUCCCGGGUCUUGUACACACCGCCCGUCACACCAUGGGAGUUGGAAAUGCCCGAAGUCGGUGACCUAACCGAAAGGGAGGAGCCGCCGAAGGCAGGUCUGAUAACUGGGGUGAAGUCGUAACAAGGUAGC